UGCAGCGACGCCGCGUGAGGGAUGACGGCCUAUCGGGUUGUAAACCUCUUUCAGCAGGGAAGAAGCGAGAGUGACGGUACCUGCAGAAGAAGCGCCGGCUAACUACGUGCCAGCAGCCGCGGUAAUACGUAGGGCGCAAGCGUUGUCCGGAAUUAUUGGGCGUAAAGAGCUCGUAGGCGGCUUGUCGCGUCGGAUGUGAAAGCCCGGGGCUUAACCCCGGGUCUGCAUUCGAUACGGGCAGGCUAGAGUUCGGUAGGGGAGAUCGGAAUUCCUGGUGUAGCGGUGAAAUGCGCAGAUAUCAGGAGGAACACCGGUGGCGAAGGCGGAUCUCUGGGCCGAUACUGACGCUGAGGAGCGAAAGCGUGGGGAGCGAACAGGAUUAGAUACCCUGGUAGUCCACGCCGUAAACGUUGGGAACUAGGUGUGGGCGACAUUCCACGUCGUCCGUGCCGCAGCUAACGCAUUAAGUUCCCCGCCUGGGGAGUACGGCCGCAAGGCUAAAACUCAAAGGAAUUGACGGGGGCCCGCACAAGCAGCGGAGCAUGUGGCUUAAUUCGACGCAACGCGAAGAACCUUACCAAGGCUUGACAUACACCGGAAACGUCUGGAGACAGGCGCCCCCUUGU
rnacentral:rRNA from 1 species